rnacentral:rRNA from 1 species
UACGUAGGUGGCAAGCGUUGUCCGGAUUUACUGGGCGUAAAGCGCGCGCAGGCGGACUGAUCAGUCUGGGGUGAAAUCUCCCGGCUCAACUGGGAGCGGUCCCUGGAUACUGUCAGUCCUGAGAGACCUAGAGGAGAGCGGAAUUCCCGGUGUAGUGGUGGAAUGCGUAGAUAUCGGGAAGAACACCAGUGGCGAAAGCGGCUCGCUGGGACGUUACUGACGCUGAGACGCGAAAGCGUGGGGAGCAAACAGG